GGCCAUAGCUCAGUGGUAGAGCAUCUGCUUUCCAUGCAGAAGAUCCCAGUUUCAAUCCCAGGUAGGGUUA